rnacentral:rRNA from 1 species
GAUGAACGCUGGCGGCGUGCCUAAUACAUGCAAGUCGAGCGAACAGACGAGGAGCUUGCUCCUCUGACGUUAGCGGCGGACGGGUGAGUAACACGUGGAUAACCUACCUAUAAGACUGGGAUAACUUCGGGAAACCGGAGCUAAUACCGGAUAAUAUAUUGAACCGCAUGGUUCAAUAGUGAAAGACGGUUUUGCUGUCACUUAUAGAUGGAUCCGCGCCGCAUUAGCUAGUUGGUAAGGUAACGGCUUACCAAGGCAACGAUGCGUAGCCGACCUGAGAGGGUGAUCGGCCACACUGGAACUGGGACACGGUCCAGACUCCUACGGGAGGCAGCAGUAGGGAAUCUUCCGCAAUGGGCGAAAGCCUGACGGAGCAAGGCCGCGUGAGUGAUGAAGGUCUUCGGAUCGUAAAACUCUGUUAUUAGGGAAGAACAAAUGUGUAAGUAACUAUGCACGUCUUGACGGUACCUAAUCAGAAAGCCACGGCUAACUACGUG